GAAAAUAUGAAACCGUCUUGUCAAAGUUAAAAGCUGAGGAAGAUCAAGCUAAUUCAGAAAUUGCCGUUUUGAAGUCCAGGAGUAGUGCUGCUGAAGCAAGGCUGGCAGCUGCUCGGGAACAAUCUCAGUCUGCACAGGAAGAGGCAGAAGAGUGGAAGAGGAAAUUUGAUAUUGCUUUAAGAGAUACUAAAGCUGCUCUUGAAAAAGCUGCACUUGCAGAAGAACGCACAAAUAUGCAAACCAGGCUUAGGGAAGAUGC
rnacentral:misc_RNA from 1 species